rnacentral:lncRNA from 1 species
CUUUUCAAGCUCAUUGUUUUUUUUUUUUUUUUUGAGAGAUAAAUAGCACGCUACCCGCUUCGUUUAUUUUAUUUAGAAAUAAAUUUAACUGGAAAUGUGAAUCAACUAGGAUUCGAACUUGAGUCUCGGAUACCAAUCACCAAGUCCUUUGCCACUUGCUCUAGAGAACCCGAUCUGUUAUUGGUUCAUGAAUAUAUUGU